CAGGUAUCUAGGGCUCUGAUCUUUAGGUCCUGCCAGCGGGUCUCGAGUUCAGGAUACUCUCUGCACAAGAUUUCAUGCAGCAUCUGUUCUUCCAGUAUUUCCAUGUUCAGGCCCAGAUCCAACACAUUCAGCCCCUUUAGCAGUUCACAACCUAGCACUUGGGGUAACAUGGGAGAUGCUUAACCUCUUCCCCUUGGCAGAGCCAGGGGGUAGAGUAGACAGGGAGUAUGGCUCCCUGCUAUAGACCUGUGCCUGCUCUG
rnacentral:lncRNA from 1 species